UCAUGAAAAUAAUUUAUUUUUAAUUGUAAAAAUAUUGUCAGCAUUUUAGAAAAACCUGUUAUUUAACCAGAGAUUAUUGGAACAUUUAAAAUGCACAGAGGACACUAAAGACGGAAACCCUAAGAACAGACAAUUUCCAAGAAGCAAAGGUACUAUUGACUCCACUGAACAAGAAAAGAUACUCAACAUCCUCAAAGAAAGUUAGACUACUUAAACACCAACCAAAGAAAGAAAAUAAUCUGGGUGUUCAUUAAAUAAGAAUUAUCCUCAGAUAUAUUAAUGUUAACACUAAAUACAUGUGGACUGCCUUUUUCUUGCAGUUAGGGCAGUGCUAAUGUCUACUCAACUGAAAAAACUUCUUACAUUAUUUCUACUCUCCUGAGAUGUGAAUACUAAUUUUCAGGGCCUUUAUCAGUACCUUGUACAGGUUGCUGGCUGUUGGAAUGCACUGCUCCUCUUCUGCUGCUGGCUCUUUAGCUGAAAGAAAAGCUUUGACACAGAGUUGGUAAGUGAUGGUGUGUCUCUCUCUUCCUGCCCACAUUGUACCUCUAAUAGAAAAUAUACAAGAGACUCUCUGUGGAGUUUUUUUGCACUAGACAUUAAUAGUUAUCCUAGCAAUUAAAAGGCAAUCAUGCAAAUCAUACCCAUAGCAGCUGUGGAUGCUCCAUCCCUGUAAAUGUUCAAGGCCAGCCUGGUGGGGACUCAACAAUCUGGUCCAGCAGAAGGUGUCCCUGUCCGUGGCAGGAGGGUUGGAACUGAAUGACUUUCAGAUCCCUUCCAGUGCAAACCAUUCUGUGAUACUAUGAAAAAGUGGCUUAAUUGUUUAAAUAAGUUCUAAAUCACUAAAACCAGACUGAAGAAUUACUUAAAAUAAGCUGGGAGGGCCCUGAAUUAUCUUACUGAAUUAUCCUGACUGCCAGUCUCAACCAAAACAUGAACUGCCUGCAAUCAGCCCCUGUAGCUUUAGUCUGACAGAAAACCCCUGUGUUCCCCCAAACAGGGGUAUUAGUGUGACAUGCCCUUUGCAGCAGGAGGCUAUAACAGCCUUGUAGGCCUGCAUGAUUUUAAUCAACUCAAAUUUCCCGAGUCUGUAUUUUCUGAUAAUAUUCCAAUAAUGAUGUUUGAUUACAGAAAACAGGUCCAGUUGUGUAGUGACUCUUUCAGGAAAACAAGAAGUGUCCUGUUUUCAUUCUGAAUCUAUGUACAUUUUUAACGUAUGUUUAGAAAAAUAAGCCUAAAAUUGUCAUUUUUUUUCAUAGUUGUUUCUUACAAUCCUACACAUGCCAUAGUCAUCAUGAGCCUAGCAGAACAAGGCUUUAAGAGAGAAUUUACUGGAGGGGAAAAAAAAGCCAAACCAAACUAAAACAACAAACCUACAAUUUUCUGUAACUCUCCACUGUUGAGAGGGCUUCUCUACAGUGGAGGGGAUGGCAUCAUUUAUGCAGAGCCAUGUUUUAAGAUCCUUGUUGUGUUAAAAAUACAUCAGUUAUGCUCCUAACAGACAGACAUCUGCAUUAUAUCACCCACCAUCUUAUCUGCUGCUAAUUGGCCUCCUUGUUGACAAGUCUUAGCAGCAAGGUUAAGUGCUGGCUGUAAAAGCAAUGUAGCCUCUUGCCCGAGGGGUCAGAGCUCAGGCAGACUGUGCUGGAGCCUCCAUGGCCUCUUUCCCUGCUAUAUAUUUUCUGGGAGCUAAUAAAACACCAGGGCAAUCACUCCUGCCUGGAGUCUGCCAGCCACCACAGUGUCUGUGGAGCUGCAGCAAAUGGAACAUCAUCUCCCCAGUGCAGAGCACUCAAGGAGUCUGCAAAGGAAAAAGGCAUCUUCUCUUGCACCAAAGUUUUAAAAACUCCCUGAGAUGCAAUUUAAAAAUCCAUGAACUAACAGUAACCUUGAACAUGGGGCAGCUGGUGCCUCAAUGUCCAGCACAGCCCUUGGAAAAGGGAUGGGGCACACCUUGACUGAAUUCACAGGUUCCAUUUGAACCAAAUACUGGGAUUUUACCUGGCUGCUGGGCUCCUUGCAGAGCUCUUGGGAACAUCCUAGAAAGCCAUUCCAGGUGGAUGCCAGGCAGUACAUCAGGAAUGCAGCUGCUGGGCUUCCACAUGGGCACAACAACUGCCUUUGACCAACCUGGCAGGGGUUUGAUUUACAUGUAUGACAAGGAAAGGGAAGGAAACUUAGAGCUGGAAUUGAGCAGUGGCAGUGGUAGGGGAACACACUGACUGGAAAUGUUUCAUUAAGGAAAAAAAAAAAAAGAAAAAGAAAGCACCCCCCCCCCCUAAGAAAAAAAAAAAAAUAACCAAACCAACAACUGUACAGGAGAAGAACAGAGCAUCAAGUGAUAGUAUGGCACUAUUUUUGCAGCCUGUGGCAGCCUGUUUCCCUAUUUAAAAUGGAGAAGGGUUUCCAUGCUUGGUUUUGCUUGGGGUUUUUUUGCUUUGUUUUGGUUUUCUUCAUAAUUGUUCUCUUUCCCUACACCUUAAUCAUGAUAAUAAAAUCAACAUAUGGCACAACUCUAAAAAAAAAAGUUAGCACCCCCCAGUUUUAUUUCCAGUUUAGGCUAUAAUUAAUUUUUAAAAACUUCAAAUUUCUGUAGUAGAAAUUCCUCUUCUGUUUGCCUUUAGUUCUGCUCUACUUUACUUUUCAAAUCUCUAGUUUCUAUCACUUACCUUUCUUUUUCCAGCACUUCUCAGACAACAUUUCACUGGAAGUGUAAACCUUGGAUUGUAACUCUUCUGGGAAUGUGCCUGUUUAAAAAAAGAAGAGAAAAAUGUUCUCUCGCUGAGCCCCUAGACCUUCAUGCCAAUGUUUGCAGCACAGCCUAAAGUGACCAAACCCAAAAAUAGGCCUUGCUUCCUGGCUGGUCAACAAAGCAUCAAAUACCUUCUGAUUCAAAUACUUUCUGAUUCUUUCCCUGCUAUUUAAGCCUGGAGUGUUCAUUCACAAGCCAGGCCAAAGAAUCUGAUUUUUAAGAGAUUUACCAGAAAGCCAGUUGGGAGGGUCAAAGCCCCAACUAAAGUGCUCAUAUAUGGGUGGGUAGGACUCUGGAGCCAUAGAUGAUAGACUGCAUCAAUGAACAGGAGCAGGUUUCUCCCAGUUUGCUCUCACUGCCUCAAGUUGCCACAAAUUACCACUUGAGCAUGGUCUAGGCCCUGCUCUGGGCUCAAACCAGCAAAACAAAUUAAAUCAAACUAAAGUAUCCAUGUCUGGUAUUCCUUGACUGCAGGGAUUAACACUUCCCUGGCAUCCAGGCUUCCAGUACACAGUGUGCAGCUGCAUUCCAGCAGAGUUAGAAGCAGGGCUUGUUUUAACAAUAAAAAGCACUGGAUCUUUCUUUCCUGAAACCGAGAAAAACAUUUUAAAUGGGACGGCAAUGUAAGUAAAGAUAAAUAGUUGCAGGAAAGCUCCUUCCAUCAGCAGGGUUCUGAAGCAAUAUGAAUACAUUGGUGGCUGUCACUCAUGCCAGUGACACUUUUUAAAUGUACCAGAAUAGCUCUAUUCACAGGUGUUACCAGAGCAAUGCCCACUUGCACACUGAAUAUUUAGUAAGCAAGCAUUAAGACUUCGUGUUUCAUACUUAGCUCCCUAUUUUAAUGCAGUAUUAAGUUCUGCAUACCCAGAACUUAAUGAAAAGAUCUAAAUAUAAUGUCAGUGUGAUUUAAAAAUAUGCACUGCCUCUUUUAAGUUGACGUUUCAAUUAAAAAUAAAUAAGAUCCAUUUAUAUGGUGAUACUGUGAUAAGAUGGCAUCAGUCAAGUUUCAUUCCUACUCAAAGUGACAGAUUUCUCUAAGUCAGAGCCAGGAAAUUCAGUCCUCCAGCAACUCCAACCAGAAAAAUAUAACUGAGGGUGAAUUUAAGUACUUCACAAAAAUUUGGGUAUCAUGUUUCAAGGAUAAAUGUAUUUCAUUUCACAGACUCCUAUAAUCAUUAAGGUGGGAAAAGACCUCCAAGGCCUUCCUUUUAUUACUAAUGAAUUUAUUUAGUCACUUUUUUAUUAUCUUUCACAGGGGAGGCCAGAUUGAGUUGCAGCUGAGCUUUCACCUUUCUAAUUUUCUCUCUACAUGACCUAAUGACAUCAUUGUACUUUUCCUGAGUUGUCUGCCUCUUCUUCUAAAGGUCAGAAAUUAUUUUUCUUCCCCAAGUUCACCAAAAGCUCCCUAUGCAGCCAGGUCAGUCUUCUUCCCCAUCUUCACACUGUUACUAUCCUGAGGCUAGUCUAUUAAAACUGAUAACUGCACUCAACUUUUGUAUUUGCCGUUCAGCCCAAGUCACGUGAGUGUUAUCAUUAGGUUUUUUUUGUCACCUAAUCAAUAGCUUGUCAAGACCCAGGCCCUUAUUUGGUGUCAGAGAUUUCAAGAAUCCUCCACAUUUAGAGAGCCAAAAGAAAACCUAUGGGGUACAGUUUUGCAGUGCUCAGAAAAUCUGCUUCCCAUUGAACUUUUUCAGUUUCUUGGGCUAGUUCUAAGAGACAAACUGAGACAACUCAAUAGUAGCAACCAGAUAUAAAUAAAAAGAUCACCCAAAACUGUCACUGGCAGCCAAGAGGCCAGGACCCUGAAAUGUCUCAUGGGAAAGUUUCCUAACCCGCCAGAAGCUUGCAUGGCUCAAAGCUUGCUCUUGGCACUGCCAGAUGACCAGGGACUGCCUCCUCCCAUGUCAUCUGCCAGUUCAUGACAGGCCAAAAACUCAGAAGAAAUCCCUUAGCUCUGCAGCUCUUUCUAGAAACCUCAACAAGCCAGGCUACUUACCUCUGACUCCUCUGAGAUCUGCUGUCUGUAUGUAUGUUGACAUUGAAUUCACUGUGCAAACACCGAAAGCCAGAGAAUUUCCACCCCAGCAGAAGUGCACAGACCUGCUCUCCUCUUGCUCUGCUCUUGCAGAGGGCAGACUGCUUAUUGUAACAAGUUGCAGUGUCAUAGCAAACUCAAAUCAAUUAUCUUGCUUCCAAUGUAAAACUGAAAAGUUCCUCGCAUCAUCUCAUCACAAGAUUUCUGAAAGGGACUUUCUGAAGACUCUUUUCCUGCUAACAAAAAAAGAAAAAAAAGCUUACCCAGGAACACAAUUAAUAUUGUCAGUCAAGCCAAGUGAAAUCUGACAUCUUACACCAUCCCAAGGAUGCAUUCAACCUGAAUUCUGACGGUAUCCUUGUUUACCCUGUCCCUCCUGGCUAUGAAGGGGAAAGCCAGCAAAGAAAGCUACCCUCAAGGAAAGAUACCCUCCCACCUCUUCCAAAGAUCUUUGAAAGGUCUCCCAGCAAGGUGAGAGAACACAGGGAAACCUUCCAGCCACAGACAGAGACUGCUGCUAAGUGCAGGGGAAAAGUCUCACCCUCUUCGACUCCAGCAGGCAAUCUGGGACCCUGGGCAGAGGACAGAGAGGACAGCAGCCUGUCCUCACACCACCCAUCUGCCCAGCCCUACAGGUCUUGGGGGGUUCUUGGCAAUUAGCACAGUUUCUCUUGCUAAUGGACAAUUAAGAAUGUGCCAGACUCUAUCCAGUCUUCAGCUCAUUACAGGGAGGAGCUGAGACUGGCAAUAAAACUCUCCAGGAAUGGAGAGGCAGGAGAUCCAGACUCUAAUCAAGACCUGUUGGAGGGUCCUGAAACCAACCCUUUCUCACCAGCAAGAUCAAUAUGGCUGUGCCCUGAUAGGCCUGCAGGUUUUUUUGGACAUGAGAGGAAUCAGAAAACAGAUUAAUGCAGUUUAACUAGGAAAUGGAUAAUACAUCCUCCAUGUCUCAUAGGCUGGCCAUGAAGACAAGCAAUUGUUUUUUUUUUUCUUAAUUUAUAAGGCAUGGGGGUUAACCCUGAGGUACUUCAGUUCCAAAUGUGGUUCUUUUUUCCUGAUAAUGAUGAAACAGAACAAUGUAAUUCAAACCCACAUCCCGAAAAGGUGAACAGCAGCUUGCCAUACCAAGUGCUCAGGGCACCUGCCACCAAUGAUCUACUCCCUCCCUUGAACAAAGAAUGUCAGAAGAUGAACACCUUCUUUAAGUAAUUCCCCUUCUUCAUCCCCUGCCUGCACAUCUUGGUUUGUCUGUGCUCAUAUCACCACAUACACCUUCAACUAUUCAGGAUCUCUUUAAUUCAUAACACAAAUUAACAUAAUUACACUACAUACCAUCCUGCAGUAACUUUUUUGACACAUCAAAAACAAUAUUUUCAUUUUUUGCAGAAAAAAAAACUGUAGACAACUCAUGUCAGCAGCCAGAUAAAAACAAACCAGUCUUUCUGAACAAAAGCUGCUCUUUCUAGAGAGUUGGGGUCAUUCAUUAUCUCCAGCUUUAAUGAACUGCAGACUCCUCAGCUUUUGGGAAAUACAAUUUGACAGUUUGUAGAGGAAGAUUGAUUUUAUUUAUACACAUCUAUAAAUAAAGGCUCCAUACUGUGGCAUCAGCCAGUCAGAUGCACGAUACAAUUUCAGCAUCUCUUGAAGAGAAACAGCCUGGAUUUUGAGCAAGGGACUAUAGUGUGGAUAAUUUUCUAACUCCAGAUGAAAAAUGCAUUUUCCCUCAUCUAGCAGUGGUGAAGAGGGCUGCACCUGUGAGGUGCCCCUGCCAGCAUUGACCUGUCAGGCUAGAAAGGAGUCUGCCAGCCUUUGCUAAACAACUCACAAGACAGAGAUGCAAAGAUACAGAGUAGAAAGAAAUGAGAGAGAAGUGCUUUGCAAAAGCAGGACUUUGCCCUUAGUAACUAAAGGUAGCAUGGAUUUCAACCCAGCUCGAGCAGCUUUCCAUCUACAGGGAGAAAUAAGGAAAAGGAGAACAAUACACAAUACAAUUUAUUGUGUGAAUUAUACAAAUACACCUUCAUAAAAAUCUAAAAGCGUGAGCGUGCGCAGAAGAAAGCUUUGAGAAAUGGAUAGUUAUAGCAAGGCCAUACCACAUAAACAAAAGAUAUCCAGGGAAAAAAAAAAAAAAAGGUGUUUGUGAGAUGAUCCAGGUAGAUUUUAAUCUGUUUGGGCUACAGAAAACAGGUUUCCUGACUAAGAGAAUGCCUUGAACUACUUAAUCACAAACAGGCCUCUUCAAAAAAGUUAUUCCCUUAAAGCUAUUUACACAACAAUUGCAACUCCUUACUUUCCCAGUCCUGUUUCUUCUCCAGCAACGAAACAUUUUAUAUCCUCAGUAGCUCUUGCCUGUUGCAAAGCAGUGAAAAAACCCUUGCCAAAAAGACUCAGAAAUGCAGAACCCUGAAGGAAAUGAGACCUGAGACAUCUGAUUUAGGACUCUGCUCACAAUUUUUUUUUCCCCUGGUUCCGAGUAGCCCAAUACGCUUCUGAAGGACCAUGGGACCAUGGAGCAGUUUGACACAUUGAGGAGAGGGGGAAAAAAAAGAUGGUAACAAGUGGUUGUUCUUUUUACCUCAGCUGUAAAUCUGUGCACAACACCCAGGGCACAGCAUCAAUUCCAAACAAGAGCAGGCAGAUAUACAACGUGCUGCUUGCCCCGAUCAAGCCACAGAGCAGCACAAAAAAAAAAAAAAAAAACUAAGGCUCUCUAGCAAGACAUAAAAAUACUCAAAUCCAUUGUAAGCAGUUCAGUUUUGAGGAGGUUUAAACUCUCCUAACUCCAAUAAAACAACACCGCUACCUAGACAGAGUAAGCCCACCCACAGUCCCAAACAGAAUUCCUAUAGCAGAUGCAAAUUUCAGCUGGUAAUGUGAGCAUUUUUAAGGAGCAGUGUGAUGCAAGAAGGCUAAAGACUGGGGAAAAAACAUAUUCGAAUCACCUAAAACAGAAUCUUUGAUAGGGGUAACAUGAUAGUUAUAGUCUGGUGAGUUUUUAGGGAGAAUUAAAGAGGCUCUGAGAAAGCACAACUGUCCCCAUCUCAACCAUCCAGGAAUUUUACAGUAGGCAAUCUAAUCACCAGCACCAUGAUUGCUUUGCUCUAGGUCCAGCCAAUCCAGAUGCCACAAAAUCCAUGGGCUGUUCCAUGCCACGCUUGGUGCUUUAGUCUUGUGUGUUUUGACAGGUUUGUGCGGGGAAAGUUGAGGACUGAGAGCAACACUCUGAGCUCCUGGAAAGGAUUCACACUGUGAAGAACCACAAAACCAUUUGAUGCCAGAAAAUACAAACCUCCCUUUCUACCACAAGAACUCAAGCAUGCUCCAGACUCCAGACCACGAACAUGAACUGCGACACUCUAGAGAGAUCUUUUGUCUCUUUUUUUAUAGGAUGUUUUACUCGGGCCUCUCUUGAGUUCCCUAGCAGGGAAGGCAGAUGUAGUCAAGGAAUACCCAAUAAAGAAAAAAAAUUAUGAAAGAAAAAGUAUUCUAACUGUCCCACAGAAAUGCUCUUGCAUGUUAGAUGUUCAUUAAGGUUCAAUAUCCAAAAAUGUCAGAUGAGAGCUAGUCAGAGUAGACUAAUUUAUAAGAUCUGUGCCUGUCUCCACAGCAAUGUUUUCUGAGAUGAAAGAACUGGCAAUAGGCCAAAGAAGAUUAUUUUAAUUUUCCCAGUUUCCCUCUGAAAUUUCCUGUCUCGUUGCAUAUGAAGUUUACCAACCAUCCCAAAAAAGGAAAAUUGACCUGCCUAGCAGGACAAACCUCAGGCAGCCUGUAUUCUAGGACCUCACUCCAUCACGUGUAGGCACAUGCUCCACUGCUGACCUCUCCCGACCUCAGGGUGUGGAGAGGCAGCAGCAUUUCUAACAUGGAAGGAAUUGUGUGUGGUGAAAAUGAGUGUCUGGAGCACUGUC
rnacentral:lncRNA from 1 species